CCUAGCAAUAGGUAUGCUUAGGGAAGAGCUUGCGUCACAUUAGUUAGUUGGUGGGGUAAUGGCCUACCAAGACGAUGAUGUGUAGCCGGGCUGAGAGGUCGAACGGCCACAUUGGGACUGAGACACGGCCCAAACUCCUACGGGAGGCAGCAGUAAGGAAUUUUCGGCAAUGGAGGAAACUCUGACCGAGCAAUGCCGCGUGAACGAUGAAGUAUUUCGGUACGUAAAGUUCUUUUAUUAGGGAAGAAAAGAUGGUGGAAAAACCAUUAUGACGGUACCUAAUGAAUAAGCCCCGGCUAACUAUGUGCCAGCAGCCGCGGUAAUACAUAGGGGGCAAGCGUUAUCCGGAAUUAUUGGGCGUAAAGGGUGCGUAGGCGGUUAAAUAAGUUUAUGGUCUAAGUGCAACGCUCAACGUUGUGAUGCUAUAAAAACUGUUUAGCUAGAGUUGGAUAGAGGCAAGUGGAAUUCCGUGUGUAGUGGUAAAAUGCGUAAAUAUACGGAGGAACACCAGAAGCGAAGGCGGCUUGCUGGGUCUUAACUGACGCUGAGGCACGAAAGCGUGGGGAGCAAACAGGAUUAGAUACCCUGGUAGUCCACGCCCUAAACGAUGAGUACUAAACGUUGGAUAAAACCAGUGUUGAAGUUAACACAUUAAGUACUCCGCCUGAGUAGUACGUACGCAAGUAUGAAACUUAAAGGAAUUGACGGGACUCCGCACAAGCGGUGGAUCAUGUUGUUUAAUUCGAAGGUACCCGAAAAACCUCACCAGGUCUUGACAUGCUUUUGCAAAGCUGUAGAAAUACAGUGGAGGUUAUCAGAAGCACAGGUGGUGCAUGGUUGUCGUCAGCUCGUGUCGUGAGAUGUUGGGUUAAGUCCCGCAACGAGCGCAACCCUUGUUGUUAAUUGCCAUCAUUAAGUUGGGGACUUUAGCAAGACUGCCAAUGAUAAAUUGGAGGAAGGUGGGGACGACGUCAAAUCAUCAUGCCCCUUAUGACCUGGGCUACAAACGUGAUACAAUGGCUGUUACAAAGGGUAGCUAAAGCGUAAGCUUCUGGCGAAUCUCAAAAAAGCAGUCUCAGUUCGGAUUGAAGUCUGCAACUCGACUUCAUGAAGUUGGAAUCGCUAGUAAUCGCGAAUCAGCAUGUCGCGGUGAAUACGUUCUCGGGGUUUGUACACACCGCCCGUCAAACCACGAAAGUUGGCAAUACCCAAAGCCGGUGGCCUAACUUGAGCAAUCAAGAAGGAGCCGUCUAAGGUAGGGUUGAUGAUUGGGGUUAAGUCGUAACAAGGUAUCCCUACCGGAAGGUGGGGAUGGAUCACCUCCUUU
rnacentral:rRNA from 1 species